rnacentral:rRNA from 1 species
AACAGCCGCGGUAAUUCCAGCUCCAAUAGCGUAUAUUAAAGUUGUUGCAGUUAAAAAGCUCGUAGUUGAACCUUAGGCCCGUGCGGGCGGUCCGUCCUCUGGGCGAGCACUGCCUCGUUGCGGGUCUCACCUUUUGGCGAGCGUGGAUGCCAUUUAUUUGGUGUCCGCGGGAACCAGGACCUUUACCUUGAAAAAAUUAGAGUGCUCAAAGCGGGCUCCGACGCUUGAAUACAUUAGCAUGGAAUAAUGAAAUAGGACGAUGGUUCUAUUUUGUUGGUUUCUGGGACCGUCGUAAUGAUUAAUAGGGAUAGUUGGGGGCAUUCGUAUUCAAUUGUCAGAGGUGAAAUUCUUGGAUUUAUUGAAGACGGACUACUGCGAAAGCAUUUGCCAAGGAUGUUUUCAUUAAUCAAGAACGAAAGUUGGGGGAUCGAAGACGAUCAGAUACCGUCGUAGUCUCAACCAUAAACUAUGCCGACUGGGAAUCGGGCGAUGUUAUUUUUUGUGUACUCGCUCGGCGCCC